rnacentral:rRNA from 1 species
UACGUAGGGUGCGAACGUUGUCCGGAAUUACUGGGCGUAAAGAGCUUGUAGGUGGUUUGUCGCGUUGUUCGUGAAAUCUCACGGCUUAACUGUGAGCGUGCGGGCGAUACGGGCAGACUAGAGUACUGCAGGGGAGACUGGAAUUCCUGGUGUAGCGGUGGAAUGCGCAGAUAUCAGGAGGAACACCGGUGGCGAAGGCGGGUCUCUGGGCAGUAACUGACGCUGAGAAGCGAAAGCGUGGGGAGCGAACAGG